rnacentral:rRNA from 1 species
GACGAACGCUGGCGGCGUGCUUAACACAUGCAAGUCGAGCGAUGAAGCUCCUUCGGGAGUGGAUUAGCGGCGGACGGGUGAGUAACACGUGGGUAACCUGCCUCAUAGAGGGGAAUAGCCUUUCGAAAGGAAGAUUAAUACCGCAUAAGAUUGUAGUACCGCAUGGUACAGCAAUUAAAGGAGUAAUCCGCUAUGAGAUGGACCCGCGUCGCAUUAGCUAGUUGGUGAGGUAACGGCUCACCAAGGCGACGAUGCGUAGCCGACCUGAGAGGGUGAUCGGCCACAUUGGGACUGAGACACGGCCAG